rnacentral:rRNA from 1 species
GAUCAGAAUGCUGCGGUGAAUACGUUCCCGGGUCUUGUACACACCGCCCGUCACACCAUGGGAGUUGGAAAUGCCCGAAGUCAGUGACCGAACCGAAAGGAAGGAGCUGCCGAAGGUGGAGCCGAUGACUGGGGUGAAGUCGUAACAAGGUAAC